rnacentral:rRNA from 1 species
CACUCCUGCGGGAGGCAGCAGUGGGGAAUUUUGGACAAUGGGCGAAAGCCUGAUCCAGCAAUGCCGCGUGAGUGAAGAAGGCCUUCGGGUUGUAAAGCUCUUUUGUCAGGGAAGAAACGGUGAAAGCUAAUAUCUUUUGCUAAUGACGGUACCUGAAGAAUAAGCACCGGCUAACUACGUGCCAGCAGCCGCGGUAAUACGUAGGGUGCAAGCGUUAAUCGGAAUUACUGGGCGUAAAGCGUGCGCAGGCGGUUUUGUAAGUCUGAUGUGAAAUCCCCGGGCUCAACCUGGGAAUUGCAUUGGAGACUGCAAGGCUAGAAUCUGGCAGAGGGGGGUAGAAUUCCACGUGUAGCAGUGAAAUGCGUAGAUAUGUGGAGGAACACCGAUGGCGAAGGCAGCCCCCUGGGUCAAGAUUGACGCUCAUGCACGAAAGCGUGGGGAGCAAACAGGAUUAGAAACCCGGGUAGUCCCAUG